AUUGAACGCUGGCGGCAGGCCUAACACAUGCAAGUCGAGCGGAUGAGGGGAGCUUGCUUCCUGAUUCAGCGGCGGACGGGUGAGUAAUGCCUAGGAAUCUGCCUGGUAGUGGGGGACAACGUUUCGAAAGGAACGCUAAUACCGCAUACGUCCUACGGGAGAAAGUGGGGGAUCUUCGGACCUCACGCUAUCGGAUGAGCCUAGGUCGGAUUAGCUAGUUGGUGGGGUAAAGGCUCACCAAGGCGACGAUCCGUAACUGGUCUGAGAGGAUGAUCAGUCACACUGGAACUGAGACACGGUCCAGACUCCUACGGGAGGCAGCAGUGGGGAAUAUUGGACAAUGGGCGAAAGCCUGAUCCAGCCAUGCCGCGUGUGUGAAGAAGGUCUUCGGAUUGUAAAGCACUUUAAGUCGGGAGGAAGGGCUGCAGGUUAAUACCUUGCAGCCUUGACGUUACCGACAGAAUAAGCACCGGCUAACUUCGUGCCAGCCGCCGCCGUAA
rnacentral:rRNA from 1 species